GACGAACGCUGGCGGCGUGCUUAACACAUGCAAGUCGAACGGAAAGGCCCUGCUUUUGUGGGGUGCUCGAGUGGCGAACGGGUGAGUAACACGUGAGUAACCUGCCCUUGACUUUGGGAUAACUUCAGGAAACUGGGGCUAAUACCGGAUAGGAGCUCCUGCUGCAUGGUGGGGGUUGGAAAGUUUCGGCGGUUGGGGAUGGACUCGCGGCUUAUCAGCUUGUCGGUGGGGUAGUGGCUUACCAAGGCUUUGACGGGUAGCCGGCCUGAGAGGGUGACCGGGGACAUUGGGACUGAGAUACGGCCCAGACUCCUACGGGAGGCAGCAGGGGGGAAUAUUGCACAAUGGGCGGAAGCCUGAUGCAGCAACGCCGCGUGCGGGAUGGCGGCCUUCGGGUUGUAAACCGCUUUCGCCUGUGACGAAGCGUGAGUGACGGUAAUGGGUAAAGAAGCACCGGCUAACUACGUG
rnacentral:rRNA from 1 species